rnacentral:sRNA from 1 species
AAGGAUCAUUACCGAGUGAGGGCCCUCUGGGUCCAACCUCCCACCCGUGUCUAUCGUACCUUGUUGCUUCGGCGGGCCCGCCGUUUCGACGGCCGCCGGGGAGGCCUCGCGCCCCCGGGCCCGCGCCCGCCGAAGACCCCAACAUGAACUCUGUUCUGAAAGUAUGCAGUCUGAGUUGAUUAUCAUAAUCAGUUAAAACUUUCAACAACGGAUCUCUUGGUUCCGGCAUCGAUGAAGAACGCAGCGAAAUGCGAUAAGUAAUGUGAAUUGCAGAAUUCAGUGAAUCAUCGAGUCUUUGAACGCACAUUGCGCCCCCUGGUAUUCCGGGGGGCAUGCCUGUCCGAGCGUCAUUGCUGCCCUCAAGCACGGCUUGUGUGUUGGGCCCCCGUCCCCGGUUUCCCCCGGGGAUGGGCCCGAAAGGCAGCGGCGGCACCGCGUCCGGUCCUCGAGCGUAUGGGGCUUUGUCACCCGCUCUGUAGGCCCGGCCGGCGCCAGCCGACACCCAACUUUAUUUCUAAGGUUGACCUCGGAUCAGGUAGGGAUACCCGCUGAACUUAAGCAUAUCAAUAAGCGGAGGAAAAGAAACCAACAGGGAUUGCCUCAGUAACGGCGAGUGAAGCGGCAAGAGCUCAAAUUUGAAAGCUGGCCCCUUCGGGGUCCGCGUUGUAAUUUGCAGAGGAUGCUUCGGGUGCAGCCCCCGUCUAAGUGCCCUGGAACGGGCCGUCAUAGAGGGUGAGAAUCCCGUCUGGGACGGGGUGUCUGCGUCCGUGUGAAGCUCCUUCGAAGAGUCGAGUUGUUUGGGAAUGCAGCUCUAAAUGGGUGGUAAAUUUCAUCUAA